UUGUCUCAAAGAUUAAGCCAUGCAUGUCUCAGUACAAGCCGAAUUAAGGUGAAACCGCGAAAGGCUCAUUAAAUCAGUUAUGGUUCCUUAGAUCGUACCCACAUUUACUUGGAUAACUGUGGUAAUUCUAGAGCUAAUACAUGCAAACAGAGCUCCGACCGGAAACGGAAGGAGCGCUUUUAUUAGAUCAAAACCAAUCGGUGGCGGUUCUCCGUCAUCGUACAACUUGGUGACUCUGAAUAACUUUACGCUGAUCGCACGGUCUCGCACCGGCGACGCAUCUUUCAAAUGUCUGCCUUAUCAACUGUCGAUGGUAGGUUCUGCGCCUACCAUGGUUGUAACGGGUAACGGGGAAUCAGGGUUCGAUUCCGGAGAGGGAGCCUGAGAAACGGCUACCACAUCCAAGGAAGGCAGCAGGCGCGCAAAUUACCCACUCCCGGCACGGGGAGGUAGUGACGAAAAAUAACGAUACGGGACUCAUCCGAGGCCCCGUAAUCGGAAUGAGUACACUCUAAACCCUUUAACGAGGAUCAAUUGGAGGGCAAGUCUGGUGCCAGCAGCCGCGGUAAUUCCAGCUCCAAUAGCGUAUAUUAAAGUUGUUGCGGUUAAAAAGCUCGUAGUCGAAUCUGUGUCCCGCGCCGCCGGUUCAUCGUUCGCGGUGUCAACUGGCGUGUCGCGGGACGUCCUGCCGGUGGGCUUAGCCCGAAAGGGCGGCCCAACUCAAUCCCGCCGCGGUGCUCUUCAUUGAGUGUCGAGGUGGGCCGGCACGUUUACUUUGAACAAAUUAGAGUGCUUAAAGCAGGCUAAAACUUCGCCUGAAUACUGUGUGCAUGGAAUAAUGGAAUAGGACCUCGGUUCUAUUUUGUUGGUUUUCGGAACCCCGAGGUAAUGAUUAAUAGGAACGGAUGGGGGCAUUCGUAUUGCGACGUUAGAGGUGAAAUUCUUGGAUCGUCGCAAGACGGACAG
rnacentral:rRNA from 1 species